GAUGAACGCUGGCGGCGUGCUUAACACAUGCAAGUCGAACGAAGCUACCCAAAGGAAGUUUUCGGAUGGAAUUUAGGUAGACUUAGUGGCGGACGGGUGAGUAACGCGUGGAUAACCUGCCUUAUACAGGGGGAUAACGGAGAGAAAUUUCCGCUAACACCGCAUAAGACCACAGCACCGCAUGGUGCAGGGGUAAAAUAUUUAUAGGUAUAAGAUGGAUCCGCGUCCGAUUAGCUAGUUGGUGAGGUAAAGGCCCACCAAGGCGACGAUCGGUAGCCAGCCUGAGAGGGUGAACGGCCACAUUGGGACUGAGACACGGCCCAAACUCCUACGGGAGGCAGCAGUGGGGAAUAUUGGACAAUGGGGGAAACCCUGAUCCAGCGACGCCGCGUGAGUGAAGAAGUAUUUCGGUAUGUAAAGCUCUAUCAGCAGGGAAGAAAAUGACGGUACCUGACUAAGAAGCCCCGGCUAACUACGUGCCAGCAGCCGCGGUAAUACGUAGGGGGCAAGCGUUAUCCGGAUUUACUGGGUGUAAAGGGAGCGCAGACGGCAAUGCAAGUCUGAAGUGAAAGGCGUGGGCUCAACCCAUGAACUGCUUUGGAAACUGUAUAGCUUGAGUGUCGGAGGGGUAAGCGGAAUUCCUAGUGUAGCGGUGAAAUGCGUAGAUAUUAGGAGGAACACCGGAGGCGAAGCGGCUUACUGGACGACAACUGACGUUGAGGCUCGAAAGCGUGGGGAGCAAACAGG
rnacentral:rRNA from 1 species